rnacentral:rRNA from 1 species
AGUAAAAGUCGUAACAAGGUCUCCGUUGGUGAACCAGCGGAGGGAUCAUUACAGAGUUAUCCAACUCCCAAACCCAUGUGAACAUAUCUCUUUGUUGCCUCGGCGCAAGCUACCCGGGACCCCCCGGGCGGCCCGCCGGCGGACACACCAAACUCUGUUAUCUUCGUUGAUUAUCUGAGUGUCUUAUUUAAUAAGUCAAAACUUUCAACAACGGAUCUCUUGGUUCUGGCAUCGAUGAAGAACGCAGCGAAAUGCGAUAAGUAAUGUGAAUUGCAGAAUUCAGUGAAUCAUCGAAUCUUUGAACGCGCAUUGCGCCCAUUAGUAUUCUAGUGGGCAUGCCUGUUCGAGCGUCAUUUCAACCCCUAAGCACAGCUUAUUGUUGGGAAUCUACGGUCGUAGUUCCUCAAAGACAUUGGCGGAGCGGCAGCAGUCCUCUGAGCGUAGUAAUUCUUUAUCUCGCUUUUGUUAGGCGCUGCCCCCCCGGCCGUAAAACCCCCCCUUUUUUCUGGUUGACCUCGGAUCAGGUAGGAAUACCCGCUGAACUUAAGCAUAUCAAUAAGCGGAGGAAAAGAAACCAACAGGGAUUGCCCCAGUAACG